UGGGGCGUAGCCAAGCGGUAAGGCAGCGGAUUUUGAUCGCCAUUCGGAGGUUCGAUCCCUCCCGCCCCAG
rnacentral:tRNA from 1 species